rnacentral:rRNA from 1 species
AUUGAACGCUGGCGGCAUGCCUUACACAUGCAAGUCGAACGGCAGCACGGGAGCAAUCCUGGUGGCGAGUGGCGAACGGGUGAGUAAUAUAUCGGAACGUGCCCAGUCGUGGGGAUAACGUAGCGAAAGUUACGCUAAUACCGCAUACGAUCUAAGGAUGAAAGCGGGGGAUCGCAAGACCUCGCGCGAUUGGAGCGGCCGAUAUCAGAUUAGGUAGUUGGUGAGGUAAAGGCUCACCAAGGCGACGAUCCGUUAGCUGGUCUGAGAGGACGACCAGCCACACUGGGACUGAGACACGGCCCAGACUCCUACGGGAGGCAGCAGUGGGGAAUUUUUGGACAAUGGGCGCAAGCCUGAUCCAGCAAUGCCGCGUGCAGGAUGAAGGCCUCGGUUGUAACUAGCUUUGU